CUACGGGGCGCAGCAGUGGGGAAUAUUGCGCAAUGGGCGAAAGCCUGACGCAGCAACGCCGCGUGAGUGAUGAAGGCCUUCGGGUCGUAAAGCUCUGUCGGGAGGGAAGAACACCUUCGGGUCUGACGGUACCUCCCGAGGAAGCACAGGCUAACUCCGUGCCAGCAGCCGCGGUAAUACGGAGUGUGCAAGCGUUGUUCGGAAUUACUGGGCGUAAAGCGCGCGUAGGCGGCUUGAUAAGUCAGAUGUGAAAUCCCUCGGCUUAACCGAGGAACUGCAUUUGAAACUGUCAGGCUUGAGUACGGGAGGGGGAAGCGGAAUUCCCAGUGUAGAGGUGAAAUUCGUAGAUAUUGGGAGGAACACCAGCGGCGAAGGCGGCUUCCUGGACCGAUACUGACGCUGAGGCGCGAAAGCGUGGGGAGCAAACAGGAUUAGAUACCCGGGUAGUC
rnacentral:rRNA from 1 species